AGUGAACGCUGGCGGUAGGCCUAACACAUGCAAGUCGAACGGCAGCACAGGAGAGCUUGCUCUCUGGGUGGCGAGUGGCGGACGGGUGAGGAAUACAUCGGAAUCUACUUUUUCGUGGGGGAUAACGUAGGGAAACUUACGCUAAUACCGCAUACGACCUACGGGUGAAAGCAGGGGACCUUCGGGCCUUGCGCGAUUGAAUGAGCCGAUGUCGGAUUAGCUAGUUGGCGGGGUAAAGGCGCACCAAGGCGACGAUCCGUAGCUGGUCUGAGGGGAGGAUCAGCCACACUGGAACGGAGACACGGUCGAGACUGCUACGGGAGGAAGCAGUGGGGAAUAUUGGACAAUGGGCGCAAGCCUGAGCCAGCCAUACCGCGUGGGUGAAGAAGGCCUUCGGGUUGUAAAGCCCUUUUGUUGGGAAAGAAAUCCAGCUGGCUAAUACCCGGUUGGGAUGACGGUACCCAAAGAAUAAGCACCGGCUAACUUCGUGCCAGCAGCCGCCGUAA
rnacentral:rRNA from 1 species